AACAUUUCAAUAUCCAUAAAAA
rnacentral:snRNA from 1 species